UCUCUCUAGCACCAUAACUGCUUGCCCGCUGCCAUGCUUCCUGCCAUAAAUGACUAAACCUCUCAACUGUAAGCCAGCGCCAGUUAAAUGUUUUCCUAUAUGAGAGUUGCUGUGGUCAUGGUGUCUCUUCACAGCAACAGAAACCUUAACUAAGACAAUAAGUGAAUAAAUAAAUGAGCAGGAUGUAAGAUCUGUGUCUGUGACACUUCCCUAGGGAGAGGGCAUAGGUUUCUGCAAGGAAAUUAGACUGACUCACAGUGCCCAUUAAAAUGAGUCUGCCUUUGCCCAACCGCAAAAGUAUGAGGUCUGUUCUCAGGAGCACAACCAUGUCAUCAGGAGUGGAACCCAGUGAAAUCACCAAGACUUUGAAAAUCUUCAGCUCGGUCAUCCAUUCUAGUUCUGCCCUGUGAUAUCCCUUCACAAAGAAGCUCAAGGAACCAUCAGAGCCACCGUGCUAUUGACCGAACCAGCUACGUGAAUCAAGCCACUUAGACACGUUCCAUGGAGAUUCUCAGUGUCCUCUAUCACAGGAUUGCCAUGCAGUGAGGCAAGGACAGACGGAGGAGGAGAGGCCUCCUUCUGCUGUCUGCCUGGACGCGGCCUCUCCCUGGCUCUUACACAAUAAGCCCUUUGAGGGACAGCAAUAACUUGCAGAUUAAACGUCUCCUGGAAAACACAUCACUUCACAAAUUACCCAGGAGAAGGCAGCAGGCCCAAGAGCUCCAUUGGAUUAGUCACACCCAAAGCAAAUAAAGGGAACUAACAAAUAAAGAACAGGCCCAGGGCUAUCCAUCCCAAAUGCAUGCGUUUGCAGGAUGUGGACACUGCAAGAACAGCCCAGGGCUCCACCAGGAUGGGCUGCUGUCCAGCCUCUGGAAGGACAAUACCCUUGGAGCAGGGUUAUCUCACAAGCAGCCCGAAAUGGCCAUUCUUGCCCAUGUGUGGGGGCACUGCUAAGAAAGCUGCAAAUAUCUCCACCCCUCACCCCAUGUCACAGAAGCCAGUGCUCUGUGCAUGUACUUGUCGUCUGGAUUAGAACAGUCCUCUGCCUACACAAGGAGAGGUCCCAGGACCAGCCUGGGAACUCCUUAGGAAGUUAUUUUGUCCUGGGUGAUCCAGGGAUAUAUGUAGGUCUGAGGAAACCUGCUCCGGCUAGGUCAGCUCCACUCUGGUUGUCCCUCUUGAGGUGCACAAUAAAGUUCUGUAGCUGCUU